GAAAAUUUGCUUCACUGCUCUCAGGAGCAGUGGGGCUAAUUAGAGGGACCGCCGCCGCUGAGGCGGAGGAAGGAGGGGGCUACGGCAGGUCAGUAUGCCCCGAAACCCUCGGGCCACACGCGGGCUGCAAUGGUAAGGACAGCGGGCUCCGAUCCCGAAAGGGGGAGGCAAUCCCUCAAACCUUACCUCAGUUAUGAUUGAGGGCUGAAACUCGCCCUCAUGAAUAUGGAAUCCCUAGUAACCGCGUGUCACCAUCGCGCGGUGAAUACUUCCCUGCUCCUUGCACAAAAA
rnacentral:rRNA from 1 species